rnacentral:SRP_RNA from 12 species
GGGCAGUGUAGCGGCUGCCUGUAACCAAGUGGCACUAAGGGAUCUGGAGGGCUUCCACGAUCCUCAUGACUUGAGUCAAGUGUGCUGAAGUCGGGUCUGACCCAAGGUUGGUGUAAACAUAGGCGCUCCGGCGGAAGCUGGAACGUCUAGGUUGCCUAACGAGGGGGGGAACGCGUCAGGCCGGAAACGGAACAGCGAAAACCCACCGCACUCAUCAGUGGGCAGAUAGCCUGAUUGAA